rnacentral:sRNA from 1 species
UAGACAUUUCCUUUUCUGCAGUGGAAGGAAGCGAUUGCAUGUGUUCAGACACAUUGCCAAUUGCCAAGAAGGUCUAUUUAUGGCUCUCUUCGUUCAUCAGCAGGAAGUAUCCAAAGCAGUAGCCGCUCAUCAGCAUUUUGUGGACAUCAACAAGUUCCUAUCUGCUGAUGAGGUCACUCUUCUUCACUUGUAUUUCAUGAACUCAAGGAAACCACGCAAAAAGAAUGAAUAACCUCCAAGGAAAGGUGUAACAUCAUAGAACUCAUCCGUCACUGGCCAUCGGGGCACUUUUAAUGAUGAUAUGAGUGACUGACAGAGGCAGGGUGUCCAGGCAAUCAAGUUAGAGACCAGAUUCAAGAGUUUGCCUGUGUAAUCCUGCCUGCUGGCUAUUCUGGAACUUGCUUUGUGGACCAGGCUGGCUUCAAACUCACAGAGAUCACCUGCUUC